GGAGGCUGGACCAGGCGACGCUGAAGACUCGGAGGCUGGACCAGGCGACGCUGAUGAGGCCGCGGAGGCUGGACCAGGCGAGGCUGAUGAGGCCGCAGGUGACGGCGUGGAAGCCGGAGACGAUGAGGCCGCAGGUGACGGCGAGGAAGCCGGAGACGAAGAGGCCGCAGGUGACGGCGAGGAAGCCGGAGACGAAGAGGCCGCAGGUGACGGCGAGGAAGCCGGAGACGAAGGCACUGCAGCUGGCGGCGUAGAUGGUGAGGCUGCAGCUGGCGUGAAUGAAGAGGCGGCAGCUGGUGUGGAAGCCAGAGGCGGCGGCGCUGCAGCUGGCGGCGGCGUGGAAGCCGGAGACGGAGGCGCUGCAGCUGGCGGCGGCGUGGAAGCCGGAGACGGAGGCGCUGCAGCAGGCGGCGGCGUGGAAGCCGGAGACGGAGGCGCUGCAGCAGGCGGCGGCGUGGAAGCCGGAGACGGAGGCGCUGCAGCAGGCGGCGGCGUGGAAGCCGGAGACGGAGGCGCUGCAGCUGGCGGCGGCGUGGAAGCCGGAGACGGAGGCGCUGCAGCUGGCGGCGGCGUGGAAGCCGGAGACGGAGGCGCUGCAGCUGGCGGCGGCGUGGAAGCCGGAGACGAAGAGGCCGCAAGCGGCGGCGUGGAAGCCGGAGACGGAGGCGCUGCAGGCGGCGACGUGGACGGUGAGGCUGCAGCUGGCGUCGGCGUGGAAGCCGGAGACAGAGGCGCUGCAGCAGGCUGGACGGAUCCCUCGGACCCUCCAGCGGAGACAGGAGACGAAGGCCGGAGCGGUCCCUCGGACCCUCCAGCGGAGACUUGAGACGAAGGCCGGAGCGGUCCCUCGGACCCUCCAGCGGAGACACGAGACGAAGGCCGGAGCGGUCCCUCGGACCCUCCAGCGGAGACUAGAGACGGAAGGCGGAGCGGUC
ensembl:lncRNA